rnacentral:rRNA from 1 species
UACGUAGGGUGCGAGCGUUGUCCGGAAUUACUGGGCGUAAAGCGCGUGUAGGUGGUGGGACAAGUCUGCUGUGAAAGCGCCUGGCUUAACCGGGCGAGGUCGGCGGAAACUGUCCGACUUGAGGACGGUAGAGGGGGGUGGAAUUCCCGGUGUAGUGGUGAAAUGCGUAGAGAUCGGGAGGAACACCAGUGGCGAAGGCGACCACCUGGACUGAUACUGACACUGAGGUGCGAAAGCGUGGGGAGCAAACAGG